UACGGGGGGAGCAAGCGUUGUUCGGAUUUACUGGGCGUAAAGGGCGCGUAGGCGGCCACCGCAAGUCGACUGUGAAACCUCCGGGCUUAACCCGGAAAGGUCAGCCGAUACUGCGGGGCUAGAGUGCAGAAGGGGCAACUGGAAUUCUCGGUGUAGCGGUGAAAUGCGUAGAUAUCGAGAGGAACACCUGCGGCGAAGGCGGGUUGCUGGGCUGACACUGACGCUGAGGCGCGAAAGCUAGGGGAGCGAACGGG
rnacentral:rRNA from 1 species